rnacentral:rRNA from 1 species
UACGAAGGGGGCUAGCGUUGCUCGGAUUGACUGGGCGUAAAGGGCGCGUAGGCGGUUUGCACAGUUGGGCGUGAAAUUCCUGGGCUUAACCUGGGGGCUGCGUUCAAUACGUGUAGGCUUGAGUUCGGAAGAGGGUCGUGGAAUUCCCAGUGUAGAGGUGAAAUUCGUAGAUAUUGGGAAGAACACCGGUGGCGAAGGCGGCGACCUGGUCCGAUACUGACGCUGAGGCGCGAAAGCGUGGGGAGCGAACAGG